rnacentral:rRNA from 1 species
UACGGGGGGGGUAAGCGUUGUUCGGAAUUACUGGGCGUAAAGGGCUCGUAGGCGGCCAACUAAGUCGGACGUGAAAUCCCUCAGCUUAACUGGGGAACUGCGUCCGAUACUGGAUGGCUUGGAUUUGGGAGAGGGAUGCGGAAUUCCAGGUGUAGCGGUGAAAUGCGUAGAUAUCUGGAGGAACACCGGUGGCGAAGGCGGCAUCCUGGACCAAUAUUGACGCUGAGGAGCGAAAGCAUGGGGAGCGAACAGG